GUGGGGAAUUUUGGACAAUGGGCGCAAGCCUGAUCCAGCAAUGCCGCGUGCAGGAAGAAGGCCUUCGGGUUGUAAACUGCUUUUGUACGGAACGAAAAGGCUCUGGCUAAUACCUGGAGCUCAUGACGGUACCGUAAGAAUAAGCACCGGCUAACUACGUGCCAGCAGCCGCGGUAAUACGUAGGGUGCGAGCGUUAAUCGGAAUUACUGGGCGUAAAGCGUGCGCAGGCGGUGCUGUAAGACAGGCGUGAAAUCCCCGGGCUCAACCUGGGAAUUGCGCUUGUGACUGCAGCGCUGGAGUGCGGCAGAGGGGGAUGGAAUUCCGCGUGUAGCAGUGAAAUGCGUAGAUAUGCGGAGGAACACCGAUGGCGAAGGCAAUCCCCUGGGCCUGCACUGACGCUCAUGCACGAAAGCGUGGGGAGCAAACAGGAUUAGAAACCCGGGUAGUCC
rnacentral:rRNA from 1 species